rnacentral:rRNA from 1 species
UACGGAGGGUGCAAGCGUUAUCCGGAUUUACUGGGUUUAAAGGGAGCGUAGGCGGCUUUUUAAGUCAGUGGUGAAAUCCUUCAGCUUAACUGAAGAACUGCCAUUGAUACUGGAGAGCUUGAAUAUAGUUGAAGUAGGCGGAAUAUAACAUGUAGUGGUGAAAUACUUAGAUAUGUUAUAGAACACCGAUUGCGAAGGCAGCUUACUAAGCUAUUAUUGACGCUGAGGCUCGAAAGCGUGGGGAUCAAACAGG